AACGGGUGAGUAAUGCACCGGAACGUACCCAGUAAUGGGGGAUAACACAUCGAAAGAUGUGCUAAUACCGCAUACGCCCUGAGGGGGAAAGCGGGGGAUCGUAAGACCUCGCGUUAUUGGAGCGGCCGAUGCCGGAUUAGCUAGUUGGUGGGGUAAAGGCUCACCAAGGCGACGAUCCGUAGCUGGUCUGAGAGGACGACCAGCCACACUGGGACUGAGACACGGCCCAGACUCCUACGGGAGGCAGCAGUGGGGAAUUUUGGACAAUGGGCGAAAGCCUGAUCCAGCCAUGCCGCGUGAGUGAAGAAGGCCUUCGGGUUGUAAAGCUCUUUCGCAAGGAAAGAAAACUUACCUACUAAUACUAGGUGAGGUUGACGGUACCUUGAUAAGAAGCACCGGCUAACUACGUGCCAGCAGCCACGGUAAUACGCAGGGUGCGAGCGUUAAUCGGAAUUACUGGGCGUAAAGCGUGCGCAGGCGGUUUUGUAAGUCAGAUGUGAAAUCCCCGGGCUCAACCUGGGAACUGCGUUUGAAACUACAAGGCUAGAGUGUAGAAGAGGGGGGUAGAAUUCCACGUGUAGCAGUGAAAUGCGUAGAGAUGUGGAGGAAUACCGAUGGCGGAGGCAGCCCCCUGGGCUAACACUGACGCUCAUGCACGAAAGCGUGGGGAGCA
rnacentral:rRNA from 1 species